AGCAGGCUGCCCGCGAGAUGAGGACCUCGCAGAAGGGAAGUCAGAGCAAAGGCAAUAACAAGAAAAAGUAGAGAAAGAACUAAGGGACGGAGGGAUUGGAGGUAUGGAUUGAAGGAGAUGGCCACUGAAAUCAUUUCCAAUAUUCAAAUUCUGUGAUUCCGUAAAGUACAAGGUCUGUUCCCUGUUGAAUGCAGUGUUGACUUUUGGGCAAGUAUCUCUGCUACAAGAACCUGGCGUGAUGAGAAAAUUUUCCCCUGUCCUCUCUUGCCAUUGCUGUCUAAUAAAGGGUAAAGGCAAAGGGCAAGUCCUUCUCUGUAGAGGGCCAGCCUUAAGGUCCAAUAUGGGUUUAAGAUCCAGGACAGAGUUUGACCUUUGCCCAGGCUUAAACCCAAAGAGCUCAAUCAGUUAAGAAGCAGGGCUCUCCAAACUUCCCCCUGCUAGGAGGCUCCUGAGACAUUCCUUCUCAC